AGGCACGAAGCUCAGGAUUUACUGGUUGAAUGUACCUCCCGCAGCCAAGAAGCAGAACCUCUGGAACUGGCUGCACCAGUCUGGAAGAUAGAUAAGCUUUCUGAAGUAACCUCCGAAAUUUUCUUGGGAUGCCAAGACAUUAACAAGUUGCCAACACAAAGCAAGCUACCUUGAUAAUGCACCCCAUUAACUUUAACCCGGUAUCAGUAAAUUGUUGCAGCGCAAUUGAUCUUCAGGAACGUUAUCGAUAAGAUUGAUUUGAUCGUAA
rnacentral:lncRNA from 1 species